rnacentral:lncRNA from 1 species
CUGAUUAAGGUGGGUUACCCAAUAACACGUGUCACAAUUUCAUAACAUAAAGUUAUCCUAAUCAAAGUGUUUUGCAGCGGAAAACGUGUGAGAUAAACAUAUGAAGAUGUAUACUCAAGGUUACAUUUCUUGAAAUGUCAAAGGAACACCCGCUCAACAUCAUUCCAUUCCAUCAACUGCUCAACCUGCACAUUUAGAAAUACAUGCAGGGCUGAGUAUAAAAAUACUCAGUGGGCAUAGCCGAAAAUACAACAUGCAUACAUAUAUAAAUUGAACUGCCAUAACAGUAACACACAGGGGUUUUCUUAAAUGACCUGCGCUUACUAAAAUAUUUCUUUCAUUUUCAUAAAGUCGAUCGGCCGAUCAUUUUCCUUCAUAUGAUCCAUAUCUGUUCCUUUCUGUCACGCGCCGGGAAGGAGGCCUCCUUACCACGGACGCCAAGACCGGUCGCAAGGCGAACUCGCGGUCUCCAUAAGUGUACACGUUAACCCUAGCUAGCGACCUUUGUCUAGCAUAGGAUCCCAAUUGGAUUUCCUUUAAAGUUGGCGAACCAACACAGAUAGGAUACAUAUAAAAACAUAAACAUUUUUGGCAGUCAAUCAUUUCAUAAACAUUUCAUUUUCAUAACAUUUUCAUUUCAUUUUCAUUCAUAAGGGUCAUUUAUCAUUUGGGCAUAAUAAUAAACUGAAAUUAACAGUUAAAAUCAUCUCAUGCAUAUAUUCGUAUAAGAGGCCUACGACACGCAGGGGAUCUCUAUAUACGUAUAGUAAAAGUAAUGCCCACCUGUAUAGGCAAUGCCUGUCGUUUAACGUUAUCUCUGAAUCGGAAUAGCAGUGCUAAUCCUCAUGAUGCUCAAAGCCUACAAGAAAUCUAUUCUCAAUAGGUCUCCUUAAAUUCUAAUCUUAAGUCAUGGUGUAGUGCUUAAUAUUCUAUGAUUCACUUAGCCGGGUUUUCAAAAUUUAAUGAAUAAAUAAUUAAAAACAUUUCUCUUGAGUUAAGAACACCAACAAUAUUCUUACUCAUCUUUCUGUAAUAAUUGGAAUUAUAAAUAACCAAUUAAAUCAUAAAUACUUUUAUUGCAUGAUGCAAAUGCAUACUUAGCAUAUGGUAAGUAAUUACUUAAAAUAUGCACAUAAUAAUAAUAUAAUAUUCUUAUGCAAAUCAUCUCAUGCUUAAUCGUAUAUGCACAUAAUAAUAAUAUUAUUAUUAUGCAAAUUAUUCUUUAAAUAAAUAAAUUAAACUAUUUAAUAGUUCAAUUAAUUAAUAUUAGUAUAGUCCAUUUAAUAAAAUAAUGCAGUCCAUUUACUAAAAAAAAAUCUGCACAAUCCAAGUAACAAGGCCCAGCUGUUUUAAUUAAAUAAACUGAGCCCAAGUUACUAAAUAAAAAUCGCAGCCCAAGUAAAUUAAUACAAGGGGCUGCCCAAACUCAAAUAAUCAGAGGCCCAUCUCUCAAUUUAAAAAAAAACCGGCCCGAGUUCAAGAUUUAAAACAAAGGCCCAACACUUCAAAGCCCAACUGAAACAAAAAUAAACAAAAAUCCCGGCCCAAUACUCGGCCCAAUUCGCAAACCCACCCCAAAGCCCAACACUCAAACCCUAUACCCCUUCUUUCUCCCUUUUCUCGUCUCUCUGCCUCACAACGCACACACACAUACCAGCUGCGCAGCAGCACCCCUUUUCCUCCUUCUCUCUUCCGGCGCAGCACACACACACACUCACGCAUACACAGACGCGGCUGCACCCUCUCCCCUCCUCUCGAUCUUUUCCGGCGGCGGUAGUAGCGCCGCCUCCGCCGUCCCCUGACUCCCCUUCGACCUCUCUCUUUCUCUCUUCACGUCGGAAGUACGACGCCGCGGAGACUCGCCGGAGGCGCAGCAGCGACGAGCUACCGCCACCAGCUCUCUCUCUGACCUCUCUCUCUUCGGCUGGUAACAGCCGCCAUACGCUGCCACCAUCGCCGAUUCCCAGCCCUCAAGCUUUCUCUCUCUCUCACUUACUCGGCCAGACUGACAGCAGCAGCUUCACGCCACUACAGCCGUCUGCCGGCUCACAGCCAAACGCCCCUUCCCUGACUUGACUCGGCAGCCGACGGCAGUAGCUUCGCCCCGCCGUCGCCGCUCACCCUCUGAAACUCCCUCUCUGCCCGUCCUUGGCUGGGCAGCAGCGGCACCACCGCCGCCAAACCCAGCCUCCCUCAUCUCCCUCCGACGAACAGCGGCUGCCAGACCGCCGCCGCCAAGUUCUGACCCAGCCAACAGAAGACAUGCACCCUCGGCUUCACUCUUCUCUCGGCUGAAACAGGCCCGACAUCCCACCGCGAAGAGCGGCGCCCGAGCCCUAGCUCCCUCUCUCUCACCGUGGCCGGGCGACAGCAGCGCCGCUGCCGUGCCGUGCCUCCGUCCACCUCCCGACUCAACACAACAAGUUCGAACAGAGAAAGUUAAAGCUUCAAGACUUUUUUUCUACUCUUCUUUUCAUUUUUAAAACAAAUCAUGCUUUCAUUGAUGUAUAUGCACAGAUUAUGUAUACAUAUCUAUUUUCAUAGUAAAGUUCAUUUUUGGGAGACUCAAUGAAUGGGUGUAUGCUUGUGAUUUUUGCUUGGUGAAGUUUGCACAGAUAAGGCGAAAUGUGUGCUUAAAUCAUACUGUAAAAUGAAAUAUCAAAGUGAGUUCAAAGCUGAAACCUUGAAUGAGAUGGUGGUGCCUGUUUGUUUCUGGACUGAAAUGAACUGGAGCUUUAUCUCUGGUUGAGAAAUUUCAGUGAGUAUUUGAUCCUACUUGCUUGUUGGAAAGGAGAAUGGGUUAGACGGAUGUUCUUGUUUCAUUUUGGAUUUGAG